rnacentral:lncRNA from 1 species
GAAGAACUCAUGAAAACACAGAACUACUAGAUGAUGCUUCUCAGUUCGGGUGAACGUAUUCUGAGGGCAGCAGGAGUGUGAGAGUAGGACAGUGAGGUGGAUAGAUGCAGGAUAAAAGAGGACAGGAGAGGAGGAUCUGCGGACGAGUCGAGAAAAAUGAAGUAAUCAAGACAUACAUGAGGAGGAGAGCAGGGAGGAAGGCGUUGCCAUGGAAAUCAGCAGGAAGAUUUGGAUUGGAUCAGAUGAAGGCCGUCAGGUGUCUCCUGUCUCUCCACAAACACGCACUGCAGCUGUCGUUCCUGAGGGGAUCUUCAUCACUGGAAUAGGAUGGACUUCCGUAACACGUCUUGUCAGAAAUAAGGAUGAGGAAAAAGAAAGGAAGAAGGAAAGGAAGGAAAUUAAAGGAAGCCAAAGAGGUAAGCGAUUAAGAUCGACGGAUGUUGAAUUGUUUAGAAUAGAAACCCCAUAAAUUAGACACCCCGUUUGCAUAUUCAUGGCAUUAGAUGAUAUGCUAAUACAGUUAAUUUCCAUUGUGGCUACCUCCUGUUGCGAGGCGCUUCACGCUCAGUUUGUUUGAAUGAAGUGGGAAGAGAAAAGGGAAAAGGAGG